rnacentral:rRNA from 1 species
GAUGAACGCUGGCGGCGUGCUUAACACAUGCAAGUCGAACGAGAAAUGAUAUUACGAUCUCUUCGGAGUGACGGUUUUAUUUCGAGUGGCGGACGGGUGAGUAACGCGUGAGCAACCUGCCCUAUACCGGGGGAUACCAGUUGGAAACGACUGUUAAUACCGCAUAAGCGCACGAUAAGACAUCUUGUUGUGUGAAAAACUCCGGUGGUAUAGGAUGGGCUCGCGUAUGAUUAGCCAGUUGGCGGGGUAAAGGCCCACCAAAGCGACGAUCAUUAGCCGACCUGAGAGGGCGACCGGCCACAUUGGGACUGAGACACGGCCCAAACUCCUACGGGAGGCAGCAGUGGGGAAUAUUGCACAAUGGGCGAAAGCCUGAUGCAGCGACGCCGCGUGAGUGAGGAAGUAUUUCGGUAUGUAAAGCUCUAUCAGCAGGGAAGAAAGAAAUGACGGUACC